AUAUUGCACAAUGGAGGGAACUCUGAUGCAGCAACGCCGCGUGAGUGAAGAAGGUNUUNNGAUCGNANAACUCUGCCAUUGGGNNNNNAUAAAUGACGGAACCCAAUGAGGCAGCCCCGGCUAACUACGUGCCAGCAGCCGCGGUAAUACGUAGGGGGCGAGCGUUGUCCGGAAUUACUGGGCGUAAAGGGUACGUAGGCGGGUAUAUAAGUCAGGUGUGAAAUACCAGUGCUUAACACUGGAAUUGCAUUUGAAACUGUGUAGCUUGAGUGCAGGAGAGGAAAGUGGAAUUCCUAGUGUAGCGGUGAAAUGCGUAGAGAUUAGGAGGAACACCAGUGGCGAAGGCGACUUUCUGGACUGUAACUGACGCUGAGGUACGAAAGCGUGGGUAGCGAACA
rnacentral:rRNA from 1 species